rnacentral:snoRNA from 11 species
ACAACCUUACUUGAACAGGAUCUGUUCUAUUGGCUCGUACCACUAUAUCCUUGAGUUCUAAGGAGACAGGAAACCAAGUCUGGUGGAUGAAUCAUGGCCAUUAGGCCAGCCC